rnacentral:rRNA from 1 species
AUUAAACGCUGGCGGCAUGCCUUACACAUGCAAGUCGAACGGCAGCACGGGGGCAACCCUGGUGGCGAGUGGCGGACGGGUGAGUAAAGCAUCGGAACGUAUCCUGGAGUGGGGGAUAACGUAGCGAAAGUUACGCUAAUACCGCAUAUUCUGUGAGCAGGAAAGCAGGGGAUCGCAAGACCUUGCGCUCUGGGAGCGGCCGAUGUCGGAUUAGCUAGUUGGUGGGGUAAAGGCCUACCAAGGCGACGAUCCGUAGCGGGUCUGAGAGGAUGAUCCGCCACACUGGGACUGAGACACGGCCCAGACUCCUACGGGAGGCAGCAGUGGGGAAUUUUGGACAAUGGGCGCAAGCCUGAUCCAGCCAUGCCGCGUGAGUGAAGAAGGCCUCGGUUGUAA